rnacentral:lncRNA from 1 species
AAUAAUUAUUGAUAGAUUUUUCUCGUUAAUAAAUAUCGCGAUUUAGUCUUGUAGUCGUUGUCAUUGUCAUUGUCAUCACCACCGUCAUUGUGUCCAAAACGUUUGCUUCUGUCGUUGCAUCCAAAACCUUUGUUUCCUUUUCCUCCUUCUCCUCUUUUUCUUCUUCUUCUUCUUCCUCCUCCUUAUAUGUUGUUGGAUCGUAAGUGUCAUUAUCACCGUCAUAAUUGCUACCUUUACCACUACCACUUCAUCAUCGCCACAAUUGCUAGCUACCCUUACCACUACCACUGCUAUUGUUGCCUCUUCUUUCUCCUUAUUUCCUUCUCUUCCUCAUUCUUCUCCAUCUUCUUCUUUUCUUUUCACCCAUCUCU